rnacentral:rRNA from 1 species
CCUACGGGAGGCAGCAGUGGGGAAUAUUGGGCAAUGGGCGCAAGCCUGACCCAGCAACGCCGCGUGAAGGAAGAAGGCUUUCGGGUUGUAAACUUCUUUUCUCAGGGACGAAGAAAGUGAUGGUACCCGAGGAAUAAGCCACGGCUAACUACGUGCCAGCAGCCGCGGUAAUACGUAGGUGGCAAGCGUUAUCCGGAUUUAUUGGGUGUAAGGGGCGUGUAGGCGGGAGCGCAAGUCAGAUGUGAAAACUCAGGGCUCAACCCUGAGCCUGCAUUUGAAACUGUGUUUCUUGAGUGCUGGAGAGGCAAUCGGAAUGCCGUGUGUAGCGGUGAAAUGCGUAGAUAUACGGAGGAACACCAGUGGCGAAGGCGGAUUGCGGGACAGUAACUGACGCUGAGGCGCGAAAGCGUGGGGAGCAAACAGGAUUAGAUACCCUUGUAGUC